AGAAAAUAAAAGCUUGUUCCCAAGAGACUCAUUUCCAAAUCACAGAAUGUAACUUCUGUUAGUCUGAAGUUUCUUAACUUGGAUUUGAAAAUGAGUCUCUUGGGAACAAGCUUUUCCUUUCU